GACGAACGCUGGCGGCGUGCCUAAUACAUGCAAGUAGAACGCUGAAGGAGGAGCUUGCUCUUCUGGAUGAGUUGCGAACGGGUGAGUAACGCGUAGGUAACCUGCCUGGUAGCGGGGGAUAACUAUUGGAAACGAUAGCUAAUACCGCAUAAGAGUAGAUGUUGCAUGACAUUUACUUAAAAGGUGCAAUUGCAUCACUACCAGAUGGACCUGCGUUGUAUUAGCUAGUUGGUGGGGUAACGGCUCACCAAGGCGACGAUACAUAGCCGACCUGAGAGGGUGAUCGGCCACACUGGGACUGAGACACGGCCCAGACUCCUACGGGAGGCAGCAGUAGGGAAUCUUCGGCAAUGAACGGAAGUCUGACCGAGCAACGCCGCGUGAGUGAAGAAGGUUUUCGGAUCGUAAAGCUCUGUUGUAAGAGAAGAACGAGUGUGAGAGUGGAAAGUUCACACUGUGACG
rnacentral:rRNA from 1 species